rnacentral:rRNA from 1 species
UACGUAGGGGGCUAGCGUUGUCCGGAAUCAUUGGGCGUAAAGGGCGCGUAGGCGGUCCGAUAAGUCCCGUGUGAAAUCCCUCGGCUCAACUGAGGAAUGGCACGGGAAACUGACGGGCUUGAGUUCGGGAGAGGGAAGCGGAAUUCCGGGUGUAGCGGUGAAAUGCGUAGAUAUCCGGAGGAACACCGGUGGCGAAGGCGGCUUCCUGGACCGACACUGACGCUGAGGCGCGAAAGCGUGGGGAGCGAACAGG